AUGACGAGUGGCGGACGGGUGAGUAAUGCUUGGGAACUUGCCUUUGCGAGGGGGAUAACAGUUGGAAACGACUGCUAAUACCGCAUAAUGUCUUCGGACCAAACGGGGCUUCGGCUCCGGCGCAAAGAGAGGCCCAAGUGAGAUUAGCUAGUUGGUAAGGUAACGGCUUACCAAGGCGACGAUCUCUAGCUGUUCUGAGAGGAAGAUCAGCCACACUGGGACUGAGACACGGCCCAGACUCCUACGGGAGGCAGCAGUGGGGAAUAUUGCACAAUGGGGGAAACCCUGAUGCAGCCAUGCCGCGUGUGUGAAGAAGGCCUUCGGGUUGUAAAGCACUUUCAGUUGUGAGGAAAAGUUAGUAGUUAAUACCUGCUAGCCGUGACGUUAACAACAGAAGAAGCACCGGCUAACUCCGUGCCAGCAGCCGCGGUAAUACGGAGGGUGCGAGCGUUAAUCGGAAUUACUGGGCGUAAAGCGCACGCAGGCGGUUUGUUAAGCUAGAUGUGAAAGCCCCGGGCUCAACCUGGGAUGGUCAUUUAGAACUGGCAGACUAGAGUCUUGGAGAGGGGAGUGGAAUUCCAGGUGUAGCGGUGAAAUGCGUAGAUAUCUGGAGGAACAUCAGUGGCGAAGGCGACUCCCUGGCCAAAGACUGACGCUCAUGUGCGAAAGUGUGGGUAGCGAACAGGAUUAGAUACCCUGGUAGUCCACACCGUAAACGCUGUCUACUAGCUGUGUGUGUCUUUAAGACGUGCGUAGCGAAGCUAACGCGCUAAGUAGACCGCCUGGGGGGAGUACGGCCGCAAGGUUAAAAACUCAAAUGAAUUGACGGGGGCCCGCCACAA
rnacentral:rRNA from 1 species